UACGUAGGGUCCGAGCGUUGUCCGGAAUUACUGGGCGUAAAGAGCUCGUAGGUGGUUUGUCACGUUGUUCGUGAAAACCCACAGCUCAACUGUGGGCGUGCGAGCGAUACGGGCAGACUAGAGUACUGCAGGGGAGACUGGAAUUCCUGGUGUAGCGGUGGAAUGCGCAGAUAUCAGGAGGAACACCGGUGGCGAAGGCGGGUCUCUGGGCAGUAACUGACGCUGAGGAGCGAAGGCGUGGGGAGCGAACAGG
rnacentral:rRNA from 1 species